rnacentral:tRNA from 1 species
GGUGGCUGAAAAUGGCAAUAAAUUGUAAAUUUACUUAUGGUAUUUAUACCCC